rnacentral:rRNA from 1 species
CAGCCGCCACGGUAAUACAGAGGGUGCGAGCGUUAAUCGGAAUUACUGGGCGUAAAGCGCGCGUAGGUGGUUCGCCAAGUUGGAUGUGAAAUCCCCGGGCUCAACCUGGGAACUGCAUCCAAAACUGGCGAGCUAGAGUAUGGUAGAGGGUGGUGGAAUUUCCUGUGUAGCGGUGAAAUGCGUAGAUAUAGGAAGGAACAUCAGUGGCGAAGGCGACCACCUGGACUGAUACUGACACUGAGGUGCGAAAGCGUGGGGAGCAAACAGGAUUAGAUACCCGCGUAGUCCCUGUCUCUUAUAC